GUUUAAAAAAUAGGCAAAAGAUCUGAAUACACUUCACCCAAAAAGAUGUAGAUAUCGUUGAUUAGCACAUGAAAAGAUGCUCAGCAUCAUUAGUCCUUAUGAAAGUGCAAGUUAAAACCACAACAAAAUACCUAUUAGAAUGACUAAAACAGCAGCCGAAAUGUUGGUGGGGAUGCAGACCAACUGGAACCAUCAUAUGCUGCCAUAUGUGUGGGAACGCACAAUGGUACACUCCGGAAACAGUUUGACAAUGUUGGUUUUUUUUUUUUUUUCUUGUCUUUUUAAAUUUUUGUUGUCAUUGUAGGUGGCAGAUGGGAGCUAUGGCAGUUUCUUAUGAAGUUAAGUAUAUAUUUACUGUAUAAUCCAACAGAUCCCAUUCCUAGAUAAUUACUGUUAAGAAUUGAAAACUUAUGUUCACACAAAAACCUAUACACAAAUCUUUAUAGCACCUUUAUUCAUAAUCACAAAAAAAAACUGGGAAUAUCCUAAAUGCCCUUUAAUAAGUGAAUGGCUAAGAAAAACAUAGUAUACCCUUUCAGGGGAUCACUACUCAGUGAUACAAAGGAGCACAUUAUCAAUACACUCAACAACAUGGAUGAAGCUCAAAGACAUUCUGCCAAGUGAAAGCAACCAGUCUCAGAAGGUUACAUAUGUAAGGUUCCAUUUACAUAAUAUUCUGGAAAAGGCAACACAAUAGAGAUGAAGACCUAAUCAGUAGUUGCUAGAGGUUAGGGAUGGGGGCAAUUUUACUACCAGAGCUAAACAAGGGAAUUCAGAGCCGGUAAUAGAACUGAUCUAUUCUUAUUGGGGUGGUGGUUGUACACAUCUAUACAUGUGUUAAAAUUCAUAGAACUAUACACAUACAUAUACAUACAUUUUACUCUUUGUAAAUAAAAAGGAUACGUCUAUUGAAGAUGCAUGUUCAAAUGUUUAAAAUGUUAAAGAUGCACCAUCAAAGAGUUUGGAAGUGGUUUGGAGUGGAAGCAGGCCCCUCAUUUUACAGUUGGAGAAACUGAGGCCAGAAUGUGAAAGUAACUUAAGGCCAAAAAAAGUAUGAAGCAACCAUAAGAGUGUAUUUUCUUUUGGGAACUCUUUGCUGCCUGCCUUUCUCACCGCAAGCCUACCCAGCCAGGUUUAAUUUGGCCUCUUUUUCUCAAGGCAGUUUCUAAAUUCAGAGUUUUCUGUAAGACAGAAUAGAAUCAUAGUUAUAUGUGCAAGUUAAAAUCUGUAUGUAUUAAAAACAUACAUAUGCUAUUUUAUAAAGUGUGCCGUCGGCAUGAUCCCAGCUCCUGGUGGACAGACAUAGGGCUGUUAGGGAAGAUGUAUACAGGAUGCCAGAGACUGCAAAACAAACAAGCAAAUAAAUGGGUGGGCCCUGGAUCUCGAACACUUGUGUCUGAAUCCAGGCUGUGCUACAUAUGAGUGGUGGGACCCUGGAUACACUGCUUAGUUUUCCAUCUCACCAUCUGUAAAAUGCACCCCAAUUUUAUGUACUAGUAAGAGAUUUUUAAAAACCUUGCCAGCAAUUAUAGUGUGACACAGAACUUAUCUUGGAUUAUAAGAUGUUAAAAUGUGAUUUUAUUUCAUUUUUUUAGAGAAGCGUAUCUUAGAACUGGAGAUAUAUGGUAAUAUUGUUCCACUGAGUUGUUUUGAUGAUAAAAGAAAAGUUGUUAAAAUUAAUGCCUGGCACAUAGUUCUCAAUUUAAUGGUCGUUAGCUAUUAUUAGGAUUAUUAUUGUUGUUAUUAUUACCACUACUACUAUUACUAUUUUAAGAAAGGAAUAGCGGAACUUGUAUUGUAAUAAAUUGUUAAAUGCCCCUCCCCCUCCAUCCUGCCUUCUGCAAGCUCCACCCACUUUGCUGUUGAUUUUUCAGGCUUGGGCACAGGCAAACGCAGAAUGUGUGGACGUCACCAGAGGAAAAACCCAGUACCUUGCCUGUUCCACCAUGAUGUGAAUGCACCCUCACAGUCCUGGGCAGAGAGUGGAUAGAAUGACUUGCACGUUGGAGCCCAUGUCUCCAUGCAGCCCAUGAGCUGGAGCAGCAGCCUGUGUCUUGCAAGACCAUGAGGCAUCCUUGGAGGGUCAUUUUCCCCAGAAAAUUCCAGAACAGAACAUUCAACCCACUAAGCCUUGACCUUUACACAGAAAAGGUAUGUAUGGCCAUAUGACUAAGUCAUAGCCAGUGGAAUGUAGGUGACUUCACCCAUUAACAACCUUCCAGGCUCCGUGCUCCAGGCCGUUCCAUGAUCUUUUCUCUUUGUGGAUGGUUCCAUUGGCUUCAGCCCCCAGAGUGACUGUGGAAGCCUGGAGAGACAGGGCCACCCUUUUGACCUGUUCACUCAUUCAGUACUGUUAGAUUCUGAGUGAAGCUUGGUCUCUGGGUCACUGCAACAGAGUUCAAAGCAGAGACAGGGCCAAAAUAAGAAGACAUGGCAGGCCAGACAUAGACCCACAACAAGAGGAAGGACCUACCGUGGGGUUGGGAAUGGGGCUGGAACUCGGGUGGGGCUAGGCCAGGCAGGGCCAACAGAACUCUGGAAGGUUUCCUGUGUCAUUGCAUGGCUGCAUAUGCCAUCAGAUGGCCCAGGUGGUUGAAUUCUGUUCCUCGUAGCAUGUGUGGAAUGGAUGACGGUCCCUGACCAGGCCGACCUUAAGCAGAAGCCAUUAACAUUCUAUAAAUGGCAACCACUAGCACAGCAACAAAGACGUGAAUAUUGAUAUGCUAGUCUGAGGUUCUAGCAUCCCCUCUCUGCUUCCUUUAACCCAUCCAAACAAUACCCACAGGCUGUCUUUUUUUAUUAGAGUAGAUCAUCUUAAGACGUGGAUCUUCUAUCUCUCUAACAUCCCAAGGUGUCUUCUGGGGGGAAAUUGCAAAAGAUAAAUAUAUCUAUCCCUGCACGAUUACUUUUUUAAGGUAUUAACUCUGGUUAUGCUAUUCCCCACCUGAGAAUGAUCAGUGUCUCUGAAGGAAAAAUUUCAACUCAUUUAUAGGCUCCACAGAGUCUUUAUGCCAUGCAACCUACUGCACCUCCUCUUACUGCCUGCCAGGCCCACCUGAUGGCUACUCAUCCCAGUCAGCUGUGCUCUGACCUACUUGGGCUCUGCAUACUCUGUUCUCAUUGCCUCCAGCACCCUUCCCUCUCCUCUUUGCCUACUGAAAAGUCUAGGCCUGCUGGGGCCAUGCCUUCCUCGGGCAAGGGGUGAGCCUGCCUUUGUGCUCUCUCUAGUGUAGCACUUACCCUGUGGCCCCGAGGUCUCUAGUGCAAUCGAUCUUUUUCCCCACCAGCUUGAUUUUCAAAGCACUUUCUUGGUCACCUUUGUUAAAUUCUGAAAUCAUCGUUCUUCCUUUCCCUCUCCCAAAGAUCACAAAAUAACUAGGCCAUAGUUGGAAUCCAAAGGGCAUCUUACUCAAUACCAAUGCCAAUCUCUGUCCUAUCUUCCAGGACUGCAUACAGGGGCCUAGAGAAGAAUAGAGUAGGCAAUAAUUAUUGAUUGGAAUUUUGCUUUCUAAACUUUCCCACCUAUAAGGGCUUGUUUUUCUUUUCACGUGAAUCUGGAGCAAAGGGUUAUUUUAGACACCUCCCCUCCCCAAUCCUCCCCUUCAGGUAAAUUUAAGGGUUUUCCUUAAAGAAGCUCACAUCCUGCGUCUCCAUGGUGAUCCUGGAGCAUACAGAUUUAUAUUCUGCCAACUUUGAGAGUAAGAAGGUCAGAGAUUUAUUCAGAAAUAAGGAUGUAAUAAGAGCAAGAGGUUAGGAAUGUUUAUACCAGCAUUUUCCCUUUAUAUUUAAAUAUUCAGUACAACACAGGCAGUUUGUUUGGCCAGGUCAUUCAACCUCCCCCCCCCACCUCCUUUUCAGACUUGUAAUUAAAAGGCAUGCACUUGUUGUGAUGAGCAUCCAGUGUUGUACAGAAGUGUGGAAUCACUAUAUUGUACACCCGAAACUAAAAUUACACUGUAUGUUAACUAACUGGAAUUGAAAUAAAAACUUAAAAAGUGGUUAAAACACACACAAAAAAGGAGGCCACCCUGGUGUUGGUCACAUCUGAGAAUCGCAGCUUGAUUAUUCACAUGGUGUGACAGCCUGCCAACCAUACCCAGGUCACAGGGAAGUGCUAUUAGAAGUUUGUAGGUUAUUGGUUUUAAGAAUGCCUAAUCACUGAGAUGGCAAAUAGACCGUAUUUAUUUAUGUAUAUCUGGGAAGUCUUGUCUGGGGAGGAGUGGAAUAUGAUUAUCACGCCAAAAGUUCAAGUUCAGCAUGCCCUUAAUUCUAAACUUAUCUCCUGUGUAAUACAUUGAAGAGGAAGGAUUUGGCCAAUGUUUUUCAAUACUGCGUACUUCUCCGUUUGCAUGAUAAUCUCAGAGACAAAGAGUACAGAGAAGGUAUGAAACACUCAUGGAUCCCUAAAUUCAUGAAAUCCUUGUCUCUCUAGACUCCUCAACAGGACUGGGGCUAGGGGGGAAGCAAAUGGAGCACUCAUCAUCUCAGGUAUUGCAUUUCAGGGGCACCCAUCAACUCAGUAACAAAUGAUAUUUUAAUGCAACAUUUAGAAUUAUUUACAUUUUGGAUAUGCUCAUCCACUUUUAUAUUAAUUUAGGUUCUUAAAAAUAUUGCAUUAAGGUAUUACUCAUUUUGAUUACUGUGCUUAUUAGUAACCUUUAAAUUUUGCCUCUCUGCCAAGUACUUCAGCUCUAUGACUGGCUCUACUUCCCAAAUGAAUUUUCAGAAGAUCUAGCCCUACUUGCCACUGCCUUCCAUCACAUGCCCCUUGAAGGAGGAAACAAGUUGAGAAAG